rnacentral:lncRNA from 1 species
UGUAUUUACACAGCAUAACGUCAUUUUCUAGUUUAUUUUUAACUCAACGCGGUGUAAAUGUUAUCAGUUGGGUUUAACGGUGUGGUUUCUCUCAUGAUGCAUAAUUAAACAAUUAAUUGGUCGCUGUUACGCAACCGCUCGAAUGACAGACACGAAAUGCUUGGGAGUGGCUGUUGCCGGCUUUCCUGGCUAGGCUUGGCUAUGUGGAGAACGAGUUACGUGGAUGGUGGAGGGCGGCGUCGGCGUCGGCGACGACAUUGACGGCGAACGCUGGGGAAGGGAAAAAAAUACGAUCCAAGACGUCAUCAUCGCCUCUAGAUCCAAGGCGAUUCGUUCUUCCGUCAUCCUGUGGAGAUGUUGAACCAAACGGUACUGAGGUCAACUGAGGCAUGUACAUUGGUAUAUUGCGCAUACCGUUACACCUUGUACACUUCGUGCAGCUCAACUUUGACCUUCGCGAACCUGGGGAUGCCUUAAAAGAUGUUCAAAUAUCAACGUUCGAACUGGAACCGUCAACUACUUUUCCCUCCUACGCUGUUGAGUACAGUUUUUAAUUUCGUUGUAUAUUCUACAUACUUCAAGUAAUUAUACCAACUCCAUGUUAAAUAUUUACGAAUUGUUUGGAAAAAACACCUCUUCAAUCACAAUGUUCCAGUAAAUUAUACCUAUUCAUACAAAAUUGUAAAAGGAAAUAAUUACAAGUUACAACCAUUGUAAAAUA